rnacentral:misc_RNA from 1 species
UCUCUGUUGGUGAACCAGCGGAGGGAUCAUUACAGAGUUGCAAAACUCCCAAACCAUUGUGAACGUUACCUAUCCCGUUGCUUCGGCGGGCGGCCCGGGCCCCGCGCCCGGCGCCCCCCGGCCCCCCGUGGGCGCCCGCCGGAGGUAAACCAAACCCUUGAAUUGCAUGGCCUCUCUGAGUCUUCUGUACUGAAUAAGUCAAAACUUUCAACAACGGAUCUCUUGGUUCUG